GACGAACGCUGGCGGCGUGCUUAACACAUGCGAGUCGAACGGAAAGGCCUGCUUUCCCUUGUGGAUUGCGGGUACUCGAGUGGCGAACGGGUGAGUAACACGUGAGUGAUCUGCCCCCAACUUGGGUAUAAGCCUGGGAAACUGGGUCUAAUUCCCGAUAGGACUGCAGGGUGGUGCCUGUGGUGGAAAACGAUUUUCUAGUGGUUGGGGAUGAGCUCGCGGCCUAUCAGCUUGUUGGAGGGGUAAUGGCCUACCAAGGCGGCGACGGGUAGCCGGCCUGAGAGGGUGGACGGCCACAUUGGGACUGAGAUACGGCCCAGACUCCUACGGGAGGCAGCAGUGGGGAAUAUUGCACAAUGGGCGGAAGCCUGAUGCAGCGACGCCGCGUGGGGGAUGACGGCCUUCGGGUUGUAAACUCCUUUCGACCGCGAGGAAGCCACCUGGUUGGAAGGGUGGUGACGGUAGUGGUAGAAGAAGCACCGGCUAACUACGUG
rnacentral:rRNA from 1 species